UUUCACCUAGUAUGUGAUUUAAAAAUUUAAAACAAAACAUUGUAAAGUCAUGGACUAUUUUGCCAAAAGAAAUCCUUAACAUAAACAAAAAGUCUGCCAUGUACUAAAUAAAGGCAGGAAGCACUGAUGCAAUCCAACACAAUUCUUAGGUACAGAUUUUUAAAAUUAACUUAUCACCAGGAGAUUUGAAUUAUUCCUUAAUUACGUGCGGUGCACACCACGGCACACAUUUAGUGGUCAAAAGACAGCUUGUGGGACUUGGCUCUCUCCUUCUACCAUGGAGGUCCCAGGGUUUGAACUGACACGCUCAGUCUUGACAGCAAACAGCAAAUGGAUUCAGACAGCUUGCUAGCCUGGGUAUGGCCAUUAUUCUUAGGUCUUUGUUUUGUUCUUUUUAAUUUUAAAUUACUUUUACUUUUCUGUACAUUCGAGGUAAACAUGCAUGUGUCACUAAAUGUGCGGAGGUGAGAGGACAAUCUGAGCGAAUCAGUUUCUCAUACCACCCUGUGGGUUGUAGGAGCUCAACUCCAGUCAUCAGGGUUAGAAUGGCUCGUACUUCCUUCAAAAGCACUUGGGGAGUAUGUGAAAUCUAGAUCCUAAGUAUCUCUUAAAAGAGAAUUUAUUGACACCAAGUGCUGGGACAAAGUUUCCUACAUAAGGUUUGAGGUUGGGAAGUCAUUUGUGGUGUGCACUCCACAGCACACAGGCAGUCCUGAGGGAAAUGCACGCCUACAACUGCCAAACAAAAGUGAGGGUUAGAUCUUCCCUUAACUUAAACCCAAGUCUUUUGUGUCAUCUGUGGAAAGAAUUUGACUGUCAACCGGACACAUGACUGCUCUCAUCCUUUUACUCCCUAGAGAUUUCUUAGCUGUGGGGAAGGAAACAUUACCUCCAAUUUAGAUAGCCUAUACCAAACCAAUAAAAGAUGUCUGUGAACAGCGGGGCCAGAAUCAUCUUAAAUGCUUUCCCCACCACACAGGAACAGUAUGUUACUGAACUGUUAAAAGAGGCUCUCCUUCCCAAUAUCCUCCCAUGCAUGUGUGUACAAGGUGUAUCUUUCUACUAUGUUAAUGAAAUCAUUCAUUUGCACAAUUUUUUAAAUUGACUCUUGCAUUUCCCUUUCCUAUGUAGCUGUGUGCCUGAGCCUUGCUGAAUGACUUGCUAGCUAUCCCACAUGCCGUCUUAGAAAGCAGUAGAGCUGAUGUCCCUGAUUGGGAACCUUGCUGUUUGCUACUGCUGAGUAGAAGUGGACAUAAAAUGACUGGUACAUCUUUUCUAUGAAAACUGAAACAAUUUAAUGAAAUUUCUUUUGGAGAAAAUUUCUUUAAUGCUUUUCCCUUGGAGGGUCUGAGAGCCUCUCCUGGAAAAAGAAGCCUAUCUAUAUAUAAACUAUAUAAAUGAUUUUAAGACUGGCAUAAACAUUUAAAUGAAGAGUAGUAAGUAUGUGGUUUUUUUUUUUUUUUUAAAGCCAUCUAGGAAAGCAUAACACGUGAGGAAAAAAUAAUCUCAGUAUGUUCCACAGCACUACAUUCCUAAGGCCUGAGGGCUCUGGAGUUUUAGUCCUGUGUAAUGGUUCACCCUGGACCUGAUACUGCAGACCAUCCGCAGCCUAUGAGUAAGGAUGUUCAAAUCCUCUAACAGAUAGAGAGCCACACGCUACAGUCUGAGUGUAUCCCACAAAACCUCCUGUGUUAGGAGCUUGGCCCUCAAUAUAAUGGCGCUGGGAGGCAGGGAAUCUUUAGGAAAUGGCGCCUAGCAUAAAGUGAUUAUAUCAUCAAGAACAACACUCUCAAAAGGACUCUAUGAUUGCUUCUUGCAAGGAAACUAAAUGGACACUCUGGCCUCCCAUUUUACCUUCAGAUCACUUGAAUUCUGCCAUGAUGCUACCUGAUAACGUGGAGUGGUGAGAGUCCUCACCAGUGGCCAAGUUAACAGAGCUACAUCAUCUUGACUUUCAGCCUCCAAGUGCCAAGCUGAGGGACAAAGAGUGAAACAGAGACUGAAGGAAAGGCCAUCCAGAGACUGCCCCACCUGGGGAUCCAUCCCAUAUACAGACGUCAACCCAGAUACUACUGCUGAUGCCAAGAAGUGCUUGCUGACAGGAGCCUGAUAUAGCUGUCUCCUGAGAGGCUCUACCAGAGCCUGACAAAUACAGAUACAGAUGCUUGCAGCCAACCACUGGACUGAGUAUGGGGACUCAAAUGGAGGAGUUAGGAAAAGGUUUGAAGGAGGUGAAGGGGUUUGCAACCCCAUAGGAAGAACAACAAUAUCAACAAACCAGACCCUCCAGAGUUCAGAGGGACUAAACCACCAACCAAAGCAUACACAAGGAGGGACCCAUGGCUCCAGCUGCACAUGUAGCAGAGGAUGGCAUUGUCUGGCAUCAAUGGGAGGAGAGGCCCUGGGUCCUGUGAAGGCCGAAUGCCCCAAUGUAGGGGAAUGCCAGGGCGGUGAAGUGGGAGUAGGUGGUUAGGUGGAGAAGCACCCUUAUAGAAGCAGAAGGAGUGGGGAGGGAUAAGGGGUUGCAGAGGGGAAACUGGGAAAGGGGAUAACAUUUGGAAUGUAAAUAAAUAAAAUAUCCAAUAAAAAAAAUCAGCCAAGCUGUACAGUCAGUGUACAUAUGGCUAUAAGCACCUCAGCCUAUUAAUACUAAGUAAUUAACAUCCGAAAAGCAUCGAGCAGAUCUAACUUUAGGCAUUGUGUUAAUCAAUGGCAAAUGUCAUCUAAAUAUGACAUUACUAGUAAUAAUGGGUUUCCUAUUAUUAUGUGCUUAGCCAAAAAGAUUAUGUAAUUCUAAAACAUAGAAACAGAUUUUAAAAUGCUUAAAUACUGUCCUGACUUAUAGCAUUCUAAAAUUAGCCUAUUUCUGAACUUGGCAGCCACCUGACAGUAAGUGCUCUGAAGUAACAGAUCGACAAUGCAGACAGCGCUCGGUGCAUGUCAGCUGACCACCCCCUAAAUUCCUAACAAGAAAUAAAUCCCCUCAUCAGACUGUUCUUCUCCUCUUCAUGCAAGACUGUACGUGGGCAUCUCAGCCUUUUUGUAUAUUUAUUAAUCAUACUAAACAGAGAUAAGUAUGUAAUAAAUACAAUUUCCUAAUUAAUUUUAAGUACCAAGGGAUAAAAACAAUCCUCAAAAGCAAACCUUAUCACUAAAUGUUUUUCCUAAUCAGGGCAGUUAAUUAGGGGCCUGGCCUCUGCUGACUCUCUGGCACCUAGUGUUUUCUUAUUUGCUAUAAUAAAAAGACUUGACUGCUCCGAGUAACUGGACUUCACACUGCACUCCACAUACACUAGUGUUUUUACACAGACCCAAAAAGUGUUUACUUCAAGAAGUAAAAACAUACGACCAACACUAAGGCUGAAGAAGGGCGUGAAAGGCAGGGUGGGGAGAAGGCGGCUGAAGGCGGCUAAAGGCAGCUAAAGGCAGCACAGCAGGAGAACUGUGGGUCAAAUCAAUGUAUUGUCAGUUCCUACCAGAGAGGAUUCAGAAUGUUCCUCACACAAAGAAAAGAUAAACGUUCCAAGGAAUGAAUGUCAACUGCCCUGAUCCCAUCACUGUACAUUAUAGAGAGGGACUGAAGCACCAUUCUGUCCUCCGUAAAAAUUUGCAGUUAAUAAAUGCCAAUCACAAAUAAAACUUAAAUUAAUAAACACAACCUGGGGGGGAGGAACUCUGGCAGAACAGAGCAGCCAAGAUAAAUAUUCUUAAGUAUACAUAUAUUUGCAUGUAAAAUGUAGGCGGUACAGAUCAAAGAAAAGAUACAUUUAUAUUGCCUAGAUUCCCGUAGCGUGACCUUCCCAGCUGCACCAUUUACCCACAGAUGAAACACUUUGUUCUCUAUGGCUGAAAGGAAGUCCACUGUGUAUACUUACCACAUUUCUUUAUGUAUUCUUCUUGUUGGUUUCAUGACUUAGCUACUGUACAUUAUGUUCUAUUUAGUUAAGACUGAUAUAUUGAGUAAGAAUGGAGAGAUUGGACACCGUCAUCUCAUUCCAGAAGUCAGAGAAAAUGCUCCAUUUCCUCUCAUUUGCUAUAAUGCUGGCUAUAGUCUACAAUAUACAGUGUUUAUUGUGUUUUCCUUGGGUGUCUUCCUAACUAAGGGGCACACCCUGCAUUUGAGAGAUAUGGCUUAAAUGCUUUAUGUUGACCAAAGCAUAGGAACACUACUGUUAUACAAAGAAUCCACACACUCUGAUAUAGAAUCAGCCAUUCUUACACUGUCUAUCUAUCUCUGUAUGGGGCUGUCAAACACCUAAAACAAAGUCAAACAAACAAACCUCCAAGCACUACAGUCCUAUGGCCAGGAGGCCAUCUCCUUCCUACACAUACACUGGCUUUUUGUUUGUUUCCUUGUUUUGUUUUUCAAAUCUUUUUUUUUUUUCUUUUUUCCGGAGCUGGGGACCAGGCCUUGCGCUCGCUAGGCAAGCGCUCUACCACUGAGCUAAAUCCCCAACUCCCUGUUUUUCAAAUCUUCUUAAGAUUACAGUGGAAAGAUGGCUCAGUGGUAAAAGUGCUUGCUGUAAAAGGCUGCUGUUUCAGGGAACUUGAGUUUAUCCCUGGGGCCCAUGUGUGAAAGGUGGAAUUUCUGACCUCCAUACACGCAGUGUGUGGACACCUUGUGGAAACCAGAUCUCUCCAUUUUGUGGGUCUGAGGGAUCCGACUCAGGGAAGCAGGCUUGGUGACAAACCCCUUUUCCUUCUGAGCCAUCUCCCGACUACAUUUUCAGGAUUUUAAUACAAAGCUGUACUGUUUUCCUAUUUUUUAAUGCUUGUGUUAAAUCUACGGUAAUAGACAGAUCUGCACCGCAGACUGACACUAACAGUAUGCAGACCUGGCUUAGGGCAGACUGUGUCUCUUUGACAAACGGUCACCAUACACUUGAAAAGAACGUGGUGCGGAAGUUUUGGAUGCAUGGGCUCUAACGUGUCCAAAGCACAGCCCAGAUCUGCUCACAUCCCAGAGUUGUUGUGGAUGUGGCCCAAUACAUUUGUAGAUGACACAAUUACAUAUCUCAAUGUCAAUGGGCUGAGUAGACCAGAUCCCUGGGGUCAUGGUUUCAGUUCUUUAUCAGCUGAUUAAAAAAAAAAAUUGGAUGGACACCAUGCUCAGACUUUUCCUUUCAGUGUUGGCUCGUCUCAUUUAAAACCAUCCAGUCUUCUGAUGUUAACAAACCUUGUUGUCAUGGUGACAUGUUUUCCAUCAUUUCUGUUUGCUGUCUGAACACUCUCCUUCGGCUGUGUUCACUCUGGCCUAACUGUCUACAGUGUGUGCUUCUCUAAGGGUUUAUUUCCUCUUACUGACCCUUACAUAUCAAAUAUGCCUCCUGAUCUGGUCUUGGUACAGCCUCACUCUACUCUGGAGUAUUCAGCUCUCUACAGUAGGAUACUUUCUCAACUACUUUGGAUUAAACAUAAUCAUACACCACUUGCUUGCUAUGGGAUCAACUGACUUGGGGUUAAUUAAGUACAGGCUGAGCACCUCUAGCCCAGAAUUUUGAAAUUUUGAAAUUUUGGUGCAUUUCAGCACCAAAAUCCAAAACUUUCUGAGUGCCAAAGUGAACAAGAAGCAGUCCCACAUGUAAGUAAUGGUAUGUGUGCGAUAGCACAGUGCAGCCAUACUAAAAGUCUUAUCACAUUACCCUUUAGGCUAAAUGUGCCACAGCAAUGAAGUCCAUGUUAUACUUGGAUCAAAGUCCAAGGUAUCUUAUGCAAAAGCAAGUAUUACAAAAUCUAAAUAAACAAUUUCAAUUUUAAACACUUUGGGUCUUGAGCAUUUAGGGUAAAGGACACUUAAACUGUAUCUCCUAGCAAUUUUUUUUCUUGCCAUGUUUGAUUAUAUUGACUGCAACUUGCUUUACGAUUCUCCUCCUCCUCCUCUUCUCAUUUUGCUUUGUUUUGUUUUUUUGACACAAGGUCCAUGCAGUUCUUGCUGUCCUGUAACUUGCUCUGCAGACCAGGCUGGCCUCGAACUCACACCGAUCUGCCUCAGCCACAUAUUUAAUGUCUACAACUUGUCUUUCUCUGCCUUUCCAUGUUUUUCUUUUCUCUUCAUCAUUGUGUGUAAGGUGUGUGUGUAGAAGGUGUACAUGUGGAGGUCAAAGGACAACUCUAGGAAGUUGUUUCUCUCUCCCACUGUGUUAGUCAGGGUCUCUCUUGUUUCUAUAGCUGUGCCAAGCACUUCAGGCUAGCAAGCCCAUGAACUUCUUGUCCAUCUCCUGUCUCCAUCUCCUGUCUUACUGCAUGCCGCCAUGCCUGGCUGGCCAUUUCACAGUUCAAGAGGUAGACUCAGGCCAUCAGAGUUGCAUGAUGGGAACUUUUACUGCUGACCCAUGUCGCUGGUCCCACUCCUUGUUUAUGUUCUUGGUUUCUGUUCAUCUGAAUAUAGUUUUACUCUAUCCACUUUGGAUGGAUAGCUCCCUGGGUAUAGAAGUCUACACUGAUUUAAAAAUGGAUCUACAAAGAUAUCCUGAUGGCUUUAUUACCUCUACUGAAAGAAAAUGAGCUAGGGUCUGAGACAUAGCUCAGUUGACAGUGUUUGCCUACCACACAGAAGGCUGUGGGUUUGAUCCCCAAUACCAUAUAAAUAGAGUGUGGUUAUGUACGCCUGUAAUCUCAGCACUGGGGAGAUACACAGCAAGACCAGAAACUCUGGAUUAUUCUCAACCACAAAGAGAGUUCGGGCCUUACAUGAAAGCCCAUCUAAAACAAAAAUGGAUGUUCAGAGUCAUAGUUGAGGGCUGCUCUCAGUCCUGGUCACAGACCCUUCCAUUUGCAGCUGCAAGAGCUAAUGUAAAGACCCAGAGACUGGAGUCCUUGCCCCUAAAUAGGAUGUCACCCCUCCAAAGCCUGGGGGACACAGGCAUCAAUGCUAUGCAUUAUCUUCCUGGAACAAUAUGGCUAUUGUCCCCAUUUAUUCACACCAUCAAUGGCUACGUGCUCCAGAUUUCCACAAAACUUUGCCUAUCAGCACUCAGUCAUGGGUGGGCAGCUCUCCAUAAGGCCCCACUACUCUCUGAGUAGGCCCUUAAUGGCUACAUGUGGGGGGAGUCCCCUUCUUGGCAGUGUGGUCAUUGGUAAGUUGCCCCUGCUCAAUCAUGCAGGCAACCCUAACUAAAAUGCAGUGGUCCCCAAGAGAGGAAGGAAAAAGAAGUGAAUAGGCAGGGCUUCCCUGGUCCUUGUAGACAAGGUAGCAGACACAGGAGAGGGAGGAAAGGAGUUUUGGCCAUACUGCGGAGGGAGAAGAGCCAUGUGAGAUCUGAGGUGGAGCGGCCAUGUGUGUGUCUCCAGGUCGGAGAUUAGGACGUUGCGGUGGGACUAAAGGUAACUGAGCAACUGAAGCUAAGGACAGGCUGAGAGGUGCCGCACUUAGGUUAGUGGGAAGGACACACCAGCUGCAGAUUAGCAUCACCCAGUAAUAUAUGUGUUUUUCAAAAAGAGACAACUAACACUAAAGUGGCAACACUGUGUGCUCUGUAAUAUUGUUAAGUAUUUAACAACACAUAUUCUCCCCCUAAAAGUGUAAAAAAAAGCUCUCUAUCAGAGGGGCACUGUGGUGCACACUUUUAAUCCUAGUGCUCAGGAAGGAGGCAGAGGCAGGGGGAUCUCUGAAUUCAAGGCUAGCCUGGUCUACAGAGCGAGUUCCAGGACAGCCAGAAGGACUACCGAGAGAAACCACAAAUGAAUGAAUGAAUAAAUGAAUAAUAAAAAGCUUUCCCCCUCCACAUCUAUACAAUCACUGUAAAGUACAAUUCAUCUUCCCAAGUACUACUUCUGAGUGGUCCUGCUUACUCUACACACUCCUUAUGAGAGGCAGCCUGCAGCCCAGUGGCCCUCGCUGCACUCCCUGCCCUCGCUGUCAGACCUUUGCUACCUUUAUCCACUCUCAACUGUUACUCAAAGGUGAUUAGCCCAUUCCACCAAGGCUUCCACACAUGGAUGGAUACACAUAGUGCUAGGACCUUAUCUCAAUGUCUGUCUUGUCCACUAUACAGUGAGUAGGCGAUCAACCACAAGUGAGAAGGGAAGCAGAAAGAAUUACUGGUGUUUUAUAGAAAGGAGAAAGUCUGCUCUUGUUUGCAUAAAAAAGGCAGAUAAGCCUUUCCUUUAAGACAGCGAGGCUUAAUUAAUCUCAGCAUCUGGGUGGCAGAGGCAGGCACAGCUUUGCUGAGACUGAGGCCAGCCUGAAAACACAGUGAUUUCCAAUGACAGCCAGAACUAGAAAGUAAGACCCUGUCUGUCUGUCUGUCUGUUUGUCUGUCUGUCUGUCUGUCUGUCUCUCUCUCUCUCUCACUCUCUCUCACACACACACACACGUUUCAAUGUGUUAUAGACUACAGACCUGUUCUAGAUGCGUGAAGUAAAGAAACCGUUCACAGCAGAUACUCAGAACCCACUGUUACAUGAUCCUAUUUCAUGUGGCCAGGAAGAUGGCUUAGUGGGCAAAGGUGUUUGUUGCCAAGUCUGACAACCUGAAUUUCACACUCAGGAGGAGGAAAACUAUUCAGACAACUUGUCUUCUGACUUCCACACAAGCUAUAACAUGCACAUACCACUCUUGCCUUCUUACAAAAGAAAUAACAAAAUACCAGUAAGUUGACUCUAAUUUGGCAUAGCAUCUUUAUUCCAAUAGCUAAAUGAGUGGAAACAUACAAUCAUACUUAACUAAAGUUCCGUCAGGUAAGUACUAGAAGGAUGACGGUGGCAGGAAAGACUAGGAAUGCAGCCCUCAGUAGUACUCACCUGGACACAGGGCAUUCACUUCAACCCCUGGGACCCUAACCACACAAAAGGAAGUCUGAUAAAGACAAAUGGUUAGGGCUGGAGAGAUGGCUCAGUGGUUAAGAGCACUGGCUGCUCUUCCAGAGGUCCUGAGUUCAAUCCAUAGCAUCUACAUGUAGGCUCACAACCAUCUACAACUCGGUUCCAAGGAACUUGAUGCUCCCUUCUGGUCUCCUCAUAUACCAUGCAUGUAAGUGGUAAAAAGACAUAUACAGAUAAAACACUAAUACACAUACAAAAGUAAUUUUAAAAUGUAAAGGGCAAGGGGCCUGAUAUAAGCAAGGGAGUAGCUGUAACUGACAGAAUUCAGAUGAAGUACACUCAAGAUUAUAGAAAAUGAUGAAAGGGGCUGUCACAGUUAGCGUCAGCUGUAAAUUUAGCAUACUUGGAAAGGUAACCACUUCAGUCAGAUUGGCCGGUAGUGCAUUUUUUAAAUUGCUAGUUGAUACAGAAGAACCUAGUCUAAAAACCUGGUUUCUGCCAGGCAGUGGUAGUACAUGCCUUUAAUCCCAAUGCUUGGGAGGCAGACACAGGCACAUCUCUGUUGAGUUUGAAGCCAGCCUGGUCUACAGAGCAAGGUCAAAGACAGCCAAGGAUAGACAGAAAAACCCUGCCUCAAAAAAACAAAAAGGAAAAAAGAUAAAUAAAUCAAAGGGUCUGGUUUUGGUUAACAGAGAUGAAGAAUCCGACGAGACCAGCAUUCAGCUUCAUCACCAACAUGAAACCUGUGCUUCCCUAGGACAAGGGGUGUUGGUGAGCUGGAGCUGAAUAAGCAGCUGUGAUUACCAAGAGACCAGCCUCACUGAAGCAAAGUCUUCUGGGAAGUGUUCCCUAAGGCCAAGUACAGAAGCUGUGAGUCAUAUGGGAGUACAGCAAGUAUCAAUACAGGACUGGUUCUGGCAGCAUGAAAGCUACAGCACUCGGGAUCACUAAGAUGCUGAAGACUGGCAUCACGUGGCAUGGUCAGAAGAAAAGCCAAGGGAAGUCAUCAGGAUAACUAACGACAAGAGCUGGCCUGAGUCUACCUAAAAAGCUGAGUGUGCUGAGGAUGGCAGAGCUAGUGAGGUGAGCUACUCAAACCCUCUGGGACCCAGAAGAUCAUGAGGAAGUCCCAGAUGCCAAACAUUAACUGUUUACACAGUUCAACUUUAGUUUUGCUUUGAUCUGAAUUUAACUGUGCCCUAGUUCUUCUCUCCUGAAAUAAAAAUAUAUCACUUAUUUUAGAUUUUUUAAUCUUUUAAAAGAGAUUGACUUUUAAAUCACUAGAAUUUUUUAAAGAUAGGACUUUUAAAAAGUAUCUUAUAUUAUGAUAUUAAUAUGAGGUUUUGAGAACAAGAAAGGAAAGGUUUCUAGUUUUAAGAAGAGGUUUGUGUGUCAAAAUUGACAAAGUGGACGUCACAGUUAGCUUCAUUUCUCAACUUGACAAAGGAACAUGUCUCAACAUGAGACAUGGGAACAUCCAUUGAGGAAUUGUUUCUAUCAGAUGGGUUUGUGGUCAUAUCUGUGGGACAUCUUAUUAAUUGCUAAUUUAUGCAAAAAGCUCAGUCUUACUGUGCAUGACGUCACACCUGGACAGGUGGGCACAAGCUGAUAAGAGAGAGAAAUGAGGAAGCCAAAGUGAGCAGGCCAGCAAGCAGUGUUCUUUCUCCAUGGGCUCUGCUUCAGUUCCUGCCUUAAGUUCUUGCCUUGGCUUCCCCUAAUGGCAGACUAUGAUCUGUAUACUAAAUAAGCCCCUCUCCUUACUCAAGUUGCUUUUGGUCAGUGUUUUAUCACAGCGACAAAAAGUAAUUUAGAGAAGAGAUAGAAUCACUGAAUUAAAGGUCCUCGUAGAGAAAAGGUCAUCUUAAAAUCCAGGUACUAACAGUGCAAGCAAACAUGGUGGGUCUUAAAGCCAGGAAAGAAAAAUCACAGACAUUCAAGUUUAGUAACCAUCAGUGUAAGGAGGGACUGCAAUUGAAUAAAUGACAGGGGCCAGGUGUAAAGCUGCACACCUUUAAUACCCCAAACACUUAUAAGGCAGAAGCAGGGAGAUCUCUGAGUUCAAAGCCAGCCCAGUCUACAUAGUUUCAGGCCAGUUGGAGGUACACAGCGAGAGCUGUCUCAAUAAAUAUGUAAGAAUGAAUAAAAGAAUGAAUGAAUGAAUGACAGGAAGAUCAACAAGCAGAGGCCUAAGAACUGAAAGAAUAAGGGGAAAACUAAAAUAGCGUAUUUUUCCUAUAAAAACUAGACAGUAAAUAUAUUAGACUUGGUGUUACAAGAAGUAAUAAAAGAUGCUGUAUGAUACAAAUAUAAAAAGCGCUGGAGAGUUGGCUCAAUGGUUAAGAGCACUGGCUGCUCUUCCAGAGGUCCUGAAUUCAAAUCCCAGCAGCCACAUGGUGGCUCACAACCAUCUGUAAUGGGGAUCCAAUGCCCUCUUCUGGUGUGUCUGAAGGCAGCUACAGUAACUCAUAUAAAUAAAAAUAAAUAAAUCUUUAAAAAGUAAAUGAACUUCUACACAGUAUUUAUCUCUUAUGGUGGGAAGUAACAGAAAGCUCAGUGAAAGUACUGAGGAGCGCUUCCUUCAAGGCUAUCUCAAGUGACAAUGCCAAUAAGCUGUGCAAUGUUCAGCGGGGCAGUGGUACAAUAGUAUAUGAGUUCAACCCCACACUGGGUAGAUCUGGGUUUGAGGAUAGCAUAUCUGGUCUAUCUGAAAAAGUAAAAAUCAACAAACCACAACACAUGAAUGUGGUUUAUGUUUCCAUCUUUACGGAAACUUACCAUAAGUAUUGGUAUCAACCCAUAAAAAUACGACUUAUAAACUGAAAUGAAUUGUAAAAUAUAGUAAGUUCCUGCUAACUUUUAAUACUUUUUAUAUUAUAUACUACUAAUUGCCAAUAAAAGGUUGGGUGAAGUUGUUCAUUUAAAUGGAUUCAGAAACACAGACAUUGCCUUUGGAUCACUAUCCAGAAGCUAAUGGAACUUGAGCUGGAAUCCAAUCCUUCAAGGGCCUGAACAAGACUGUCCUCUCUUCAGAUGCUGUUUUAAGUCCUUUCGUCUGUACUCCUGACCAACUGCAAAGUGAGGGUUCCCAUGACCCCCUAUUUCAGUUUUAUAAUUCACAGAACUCAGAAAAGCCCUUUGCUUGUAUCCUUUGCUGUAAAGGAUAUUGAUGAACAGCCAGAUGAGGACUGAGUCUGGAAGGGUCCUCCCUCCUCCUCUAACAUGGGUGUGUUGACCACCAGAGGCCUCUGAGUGUUAUGUAUGCGGGGGCUUUAAGCAGGUAGCAGAACCCCUGAGGCUGGGGAGAGUGUGGUGAGAAUUGGAGGUUAAUCAAGGCCUGAUGUUUUUAUGAACAGCCACACCUGGAACCUGCCUAGGGUCCCACCGAGAGUCAACUCAGUAAAACAAGAGAAGCUUCUGGACUGGGAAAUGCCCAAGAAUUGGAGAGCUCUGUCUGCUGCAGGGAUAGAAGACACUUAGCACUACCAUCACUGAGGAGUGGCAGGGAUUUGAGGCACUGUCAGGAAUCAAGGUCAAAAACCCAAUAUUGGCAUGAAAGAUACCGAGUUAAUUCCAGUCCUUCAGGAAAAUACAAGGAUUUUAGGAGCUGUUUAUCAGAACGUAGAGGCAGAGACCAACUCUUACACUCUAUUCGUAUUGCUGGUGGUAAUUCAAGAAAUCAGUGCCAAGUUUAUAGUGACUGAAGGAGGAUCUGGAACACAGGCAAGAAUAUUCUUAAAAUCUAGUCACGUAGUUCAAAUGAACUAACACCUUACUGACUUCAAUCUCAUUGGGACUUUUUUUUUUUUCCUUUUAAGACUAUUUUCAAAAAGUGGAGGAAUUAUUUUGGCUUACCUGAAGUAAGCCUGUCAAGUUUUGUUAUAACUAAUGGUAGGAAAAAUAUCUACAUAGAGCAGAAAAGAGCAGAAAAAAAGUGUUUGGGCAGUAGAAGCCAUUUAAAGUCAGGCUUUUCGCUGUUCUCUGUGAGUAUGGCCUGGGAAGUACUUAGAAACACUGCACCACUAAAGUAGGGUGUCAGCAAUGGGGUUUCUUUGCUCUGGUGACUGCCAUCACUGCCUGUGCACCUGACUUUUCCUGCUAUACAGUCCACUGAUGUUUUAGAAGUGAUAAGUUUUAGUGGGAGGCUUGCAUGCAUGCUAUGGUGGUUUAUUGGGAAACCCUCAUGAGUGGGUUUUUUCCUUCUACAUGGGGAUUCUAGGAACUGAACUUUGCCUUGACCUCAGGCACCUUUAUGACGAGCUAAAUCUCUGGCUCUACUUGGAGUUUGAGGGUGGAGUGGAGGGGAAAUGUGUUUCUGAAUAAAGAAACCACACUCAGUCGUCUCGUUAUUGAUGAGCAUUGCAGGAUGGUUGUGGAAAUUAGCUUUUGCUUAAGAUUGAAAAGGUUUUCUUAAUACAUUCAACAGGGAAACUAGUUUUGUGGCAAAAUUACUUCAACAGCAGCUGCUAAGAACCAAAGAUUAGGGAUAUGGAACUCUAUCCAUCAACUGUGUUCAUAAGAAAGCUUAUACACAAGAGCUCCCCCCCUUAAAGUUUCAUUCAUUCCCUUCCUUAUUUAUUUAUCUGUUUGUUUGUUAACUGGAGAGCAGUGGACAACUUGUGAGAAUAAGUUUUCCUCCCACCACGUAGGUCCCAGAGACAGAACUCAAGUUGUGAGGUUUGGCAAUAAAAUCUCAACCUACUCAAGCCCCUCAAAUAAAAUUUUAGGGGAUAAGAAACCUAGUAAAUAUAGGUAAGUCCGAAUAAUUUGGCUUACAUUUUUAAAUUUUUUUUAAUAUAGAAGGGGAUGUUUAUAUCAACUCUCUUUAAAUAGAAAUAGCUUCAUGAAAUUUUUACUGAAAUCAAAAACUGCUGCCACUAUGAAAAGCAGCCACAGACUGCUAAGACUGUGUAUCAGAAGAGGUGUUCUGUACUUAAUAAAGAAAUUCAGAAAGACAUUAGAAAUUGUUACUUAAGAUUCUUACUCCUCAGUGCCUCCUUAACCAUGGUGGAAAAACUGCCACUGUCUUAGAGAAGAGUACAACUGUUCACACACUUAUCCAUCUUAUCCUACAAAUCCUUUUUAAAAACGCAAAGAAAAGGUGCCCUACAUAAGAGAACCCUUGCUCAAAAGUAAACCCGCACAUAAUGAGGAUGGCUCCCUGGGAGAUACACCAAGCAGCAGCUCCCAUCACUGUCUUCAUCCUCAGCCUUGGAGCCUCGCCUUCUCGCUCACACCCCCAAAAUAUAUGCAAGGUAAAGGGCCCGUGAUCUUCCUAAGGAGACAUAGUGUCUGACUGCCUCAAACGGCAAUCCUAAGGAGACUCACGCCAUGGCAAUUUUCAGGUCAUUGGUCUACAGGGACCAGAAUUAAUGGGUUAGCUUCUAGAUGACCAAGUAUUUUACCCUAAAAUAGUACUGAACAGACAAGCCCGACAUUAGGAAUAUGCUUAAGUGACCAGCAAGGCAGGUUAAAAUGUCCUGAAAUAUAAAAGAUUCAGUUUAGUUAUAUUCUUAGCUUUUAAGAGUCCCAGAAAACAUUGUAUUGUUUGUCAAAUCAACCAAGCCAGUAAUGAGUUUUAUUCCUGUUAAAAAUGGAGCAGAGAAUGGGCUGGCAGUGAGGGAAUAAGAGUGGACACUGUAAUGAGGAGGUAAAAGCCUAUAAAGACGGAACCUUUAAAAACUGAUGGAUCAUCUCACUACACAGUGUCACACCAGCUGACCGUGGGAAACUCAUUUCUUGUUCAACUGAAAAGUGUCACAUUUCUGUAACUUGACAUGAACUCAAACAUAACUUGUAAGACAGACUCUCACUUGAGGAGCUGCCUCCACUGGUUACCCUUUUGGGGCUGCUUGUGUGGUAAGUGAUCCUGGAGCAUCUAGCCCAUUGCAGGUAGUGCUAUAUCCUUGGGCGAGCAAGUGUACGCUAUACAGGAAAGGUAGCUAAGCAAGCCAGUAAGUAUCACUCCUUGGUCUCUGCAUCAGCUCCUGACUGUCCUCAAUGACAGCCUAUGAUCCACAAAGUUAAACAAACUUCUUCCCCUAGUUGCUUUUGAUAGUGGUGUUUAUCAGCCAACAGAAAGCAAAGUAGAACAUCAGUGCAGGAAAUGUUUUUUGAGAUGUAUUCCAACAGGUAAGUUGAUUUCAAGACAAAAAAUAUUUUCCUAUCUUUAAAAUCAAUCUAAGAAAGGAAUCUGAUAGUAGAAAAUUAAUCCCCUUUUAUUAGUCCCUGAUAGGAAAUGUGCCAGGAGAAUGGCAAAGGGAAAGCAAGAUGGCUUCAUAAAAAGCCAGAUGCAGCAGCGCACACGUGUGACCCCUGGUCUCCAGUGUCAAGAUGGACAGUAGAAGCAAUAGCCUGGAGUACAAAGCUCACUGGCAGAAACAAAGAGAAGCCUGGCUUAAACAAGGUGGGAGUCAAGAAGUAACUCUAUAAAAAUUGUUCUCUAACCUCUAGACACGGGGAAGAAGGAGGGAGGGAGGGAGGGAGGGAGGGAGGGAGGGAGGGAGGGAGGGAGGGAGGGAGAGGGAGGGAGGGGUGGUGGGAAAGAGGAAAAAGGUGGUGGUAGGGGAACAGGAUGACUUUUCAUUGAGAAAAAAACCCUAAUGACUUUGCCUUGCUAUGAUUCCUCUGGAGUUGGUGUGUCUCCUAGGCUGUCUUUGUAAUGCGAGACCUCCAGCCUUUGCUUUUCACUCACUGAAGAUGUUAACUAACACACAGAGAAGCUACGCCAUAGCUGACUGGCUUAGUGACAGGAAGAAAAAUUCAAAGAGCCAAAAGUUGUGUAUCUAUUUCCUGUCUCAUUUGCUCAGUGACGCUACCUUGGGCUCUAGAGUGUUAUUUAGAACCUUGAAAUGGAGUCUGGACAACUUCAUUUACUUUGUACUUUUUACUUCAUUUACAUUGUAGAAAGUUAAAGUUCUCAGCUUCUCUCUGCUGCCUAAUUCAUUCUGAACAAUAAAACAGGGACAGUAACAACUCUUGCCUUUCAAACCUAAUGUGAGGACUAAAUGGCAGUGUCUGGUAUUUAGUAAAUUCUCAAUAAACUACUCAUCAUAUUCCACGUAAGCCCAAUCAGUAAGUGGGACUUCAUUUUAAUAGUCAACGAAACCCAUUUUAGCAUAAGCUGGGAGUCUCCAUGAGGCACUGUGUAGAUCAGGUUGGUUUAUGAGCAUGUCUAUGGCGGACUUCUAGUUGCAUUCAUAGCUGUGAUAAGACACAGCCUAGCAGUGAGAAGGCCCUGGUCUGAGCCUGGAGGAGAGCACACUGAACCAGCAGGCAUGUGCUCAUUAGCUCUGACUUGCCUAUGACAGAUCGCAGCCUGGGACAGGCUGCAUGGGAGCUAGAAUAGAUGCUUUCUCCUACGCUGUUCUGUCAGGAAUGAAACCAGGACAGCUAUUACAGGACUGUGGCCAGUGUCAUGUCAGAGUGACAGAGGACAAGCAUUGCCUCAUUGCCUCAUUGCCUCAUUGCCUCAUUGUCUCAGAUCACACUCACCCAUCCAGUCACACAGAUUUGUAGCUUGGCCUCGUGCUGCUUUGCUGAGGCUUUCCCUGGGUAAUUCUCAAGAAACCUACCACACUUAAUUACAUGGUGCUUAUUGAUGUACCUCUUAUCUCC